CUCGUAUCUAAAUAAGCUAACCGUGAAA
rnacentral:sRNA from 1 species